UGGGCGGGGCCCGGGCCGUGCGGCCGCAGCCGGGAAACCCCGUGCAGCGCCGGGAGCGGGAUCCAUGAGGCGGCCGCGGCCAUUUUAGCGAGAUCUUCCAGAGCGAGAGAGGAGAGGGCAAGGGAAAUAAAUAAAUAAAUAAAUCUAAUCUACCAGUAAAAUACUAAACCAUCGGAGCGUCGGCAAGGGAGUGGCGGAGCUGAACCGAAUCGUAUCGCACCGGCAGCCCCGACAGUAAGCUAUAAUUAGAAAUGGCUACUGAGGUGAAUGGAAAUGCAGCGCAGGUGAAGGAGGAGGAAGAACCCAUGGAUACCUCAUCUGCUGUCACCCAUUCAGAACACUACCAGGUGCUAAUAGAUGCUGGCUUGCCACAGAAAGUAGCAGAAAGGCUAGAUGAUAUCUUUCAAACAGGAUUGGUAUCUUAUGCUGAUCUUGAUGAGAGAGCCAUUGAUGCGCUCAGGGAAUUCAAUGAGGAAGGAGCACUGUCUGUAUUGCAGCAAUUUAAGGAAAGUGACCUAUCUCACGUGCAGAAUAAGAGUGCCUUUCUUUGUGGAGUAAUGAAGACCUACAGGCAGCGGGAGAAGCAAGGUAGCAAAGUACAAGAUGCUACAAAGGGUCCAGAUGAGUCAAAAAUUAAGGCACUUUUGGAACGGACUGGCUACACUUUGGAUGUAACUACAGGGCAAAGGAAGUAUGGUGGUCCUCCUCCUGACAAUGUGCAUUCAGGUCCACAACCUGGAAUCGGAACAGAGGUAUUUGUUGGGAAGAUCCCCCGGGAUUUGUAUGAAAAUGAACUUGUUCCUUUGUUUGAGAAAGCCGGUUCUAUCUGGGAUCUGCGACUAAUGAUGGAUCCCCUGUCUGGUCAGAACCGUGGCUAUGCUUUUGUUACUUUCUGUAACAAGGAUGCAGCACAGGAGGCUGUUAAACUGUGUGAUAACUAUGAAAUCCGUCCUGGUAAACACAUUGGAGUUUGUAUUUCUGUGGCCAAUAACAGACUGUUUGUUGGCUCUAUUCCAAAGAACAAGACGAAGGAAAACAUUAUGGAAGAAUUCAGCAAAGUCACAGAGGGUCUCACUGAUGUUAUCCUCUAUCAUCAACCUGAUGAUAAGAAGAAAAAUAGAGGCUUCUGUUUCCUAGAAUUUGAAGAUCAUAAAUCUGCUGCUCAGGCUAGACGGAGAUUAAUGAGUGGUAAAGUGAAAGUCUGGGGCAACGUAGUCACUGUUGAAUGGGCAGACCCAGUAGAGGAACCAGAUCCAGAGGUGAUGGCAAAGGUUAAAGUGCUGUUUGUAAGAAACCUGGCUAGCUCUGUAACAGAAGAAAUACUAGAGAAGACCUUCAGUCAAUUUGGAAAACUGGAACGAGUGAAAAAACUGAAAGACUAUGCUUUUGUUCAUUUUGAGGACCGAGAUGCAGCAGUGAAGGCAAUGGAUCAAAUGAAUGGAAGAGAAAUUGAGGGUGAGGGCAUUGAAAUAGUUCUUGCAAAACCACCUGAUAAGAAAAAGAAGGAACGUCAGGCUCAACGACAGGCAACAAGAACCCAAGUGUAUGAAGACUAUUAUUACUACCCCCCACCCCGUUUGCCACCUCCAAUCAGAGGCCGAGUCCGUGGAAGUAGAGGUGGUAGUUAUGGCUAUCCUCCAGAUUAUUACAGCUAUGAAGAUUACUAUGAUGAUUACUAUGGUUAUGAUUAUCAUGAUUAUCGUGGUGGAUAUGAAGAUCCAUACUAUGGCUAUGACGAUGGAUACCCAGUUCAAAGAGGAAGAGGUGGAAGGGGUGGAAGAGGUACAAUUCCUCCUCCCAGAGGCCGUGGUGCACCACCACCCCGAGGAAGGGCAGGAUAUCCUCAACGCGGAACACCGAUGGGACCUCCAAGGGGUGCUAGGGGUGGCAGAGGAGGCCCGCAGCCGCCGCAGAGAGGACGUGGAACCCGUGGUGGCCGGGGUAACCGUGGUGGCAAUGUUGGAGGAAAACGAAAAGCUGAUGGGUACAACCAGCCAGAUUCCAAGCGACGCCAAACCAACAACCAACAGAAUUGGGGCUCCCAACCCAUCGCUCAGCAGCCUCUGCAGCAAGGGAAGCGUGGUUGAGGCUGGCCCUGACCUGUUAUCAUGACACCAACAUCCUAGGUGGGGGCUGUACAGGAAGCUGCUGUUGGAGUUAUAUGGUUUAAGCAGAUUCUGCAUUACCUACUGUUGCCAUAGAGUGGAUACAGUUCAUUGGAGCUUAGUGGCACCAAAUGACUAAGUGAUUACAUGAGCAUUGUUUUCCACUGCUGUAGAUGCUGUUGCUGCACUGCUUGCAACUUGCUAAAAGGAGACAUGACUCAAGAAGUAAAGCAUUUUCACCACAAGAUGGCAGUCGGCAUUCAUCAGCUCCAUUGUGUUGAAGGAAAGGAACAAUUAGAAAUGUUUUCUUCACAGAGGGGAAUUUACACUUCAGAAACUUGGUGAUUAACUCUGAAGGUGAAGCACAAGUUCCCUUUUACACAUAUUACGUAGAUUUCGUUGUUCAGACAUUUACUAUAGUGUGUCAAUCUAAGACAGCAGUCGUUUGAUUAAGUGAAGAACUUAUUUGUACCAAGCUGUAUAAACAAAAGACCAGUCAUUUUCAGACUUGGACAUGGGAGAGUGAUUUUGCAUGAAAUCAAAAUGACUUCUGGAAAAGAUAUUAGAGUGUGUUAUAUUUGCUCGUACUUAAUGCUUAGUAGCAGUAAAUUUUAAGUACUUAUUCUUUGUACUGUCUUUAAUAAAGUGUUACUAUUUUGGCGCAGUUUUAUUGCUUUUAUUUGUACAUUAUAAAGCAGUAACAUUUUCCAUAAUAGCAUGAAUGAGUGUUUUAUUGUCUGUUUGCUUCGGCUUUGAGUUCUGUAUUUAUUGGUUAUACGUUGUUAACAUUUGAACAGGAACCAUGGAUCUUCAAUCAUAGAUUAGAGUACUGAAGGAGUCAAUGCUGACAUUUGCAGGGGUUAUUUAGCUAGACCCACUCCAAUACUAUUUGCCUGUAGGCCUUCAGUUCUUUUGGAACAGGUGUUUGUCAUUGAUUUCUCUUUGUCCUUGUAAUCUUGCUUAAAGUGUCAUUCCUGGCUGGGUUAAUGAGCAGCCUUGAUGAUAGCUUAUUAAUACUUAAAAUAAGGAAAUAUGUAAUUUGUUAGCAUUUGGGAAUACAGUAAACUUUUUAUCUGGCCCCUAUGGGACCAGGAGUGAGUUGAUUGAUCAAAUGUUCCAGAAGAUCAAGAGGUUGCUAGAAUCUGUGUAAUGAAGCAGGGGUAUAGACAUUACUGUAUAGUUUAUUUACAGCAUAAAUCACUUAAUAAUGCAACUUUGCCUUAAAUGAAACAUACUGGCAGAGCGCCUUCUCACUUGGACCUUCAACUGACUACUCAAGAGAUCGCAAUAUUUGAGGAGAAUUGACUCGAAAUUGAAUCAACUGUUGAUAUUUCAUGUGGUCAUUCAAUUGAACAAGUAUAGUUACAUUGAUGUAAAUAAACUAUAAUAAUUGGACAGUAAUACAGAAAACUGAGGUAUAUAAUGUUUGCCAUUUUAUCAAGAGUACUGUUCAUAAAGUGCUGGUUAAAACAAGUUUGCUGUACAUGUUAACAUUUCUGUGAUGGCAAUGUUUUCCCUGCUGAUGGCCAAAGGUAAUAAUCAAUUGUUGUAGUGAAACAUGUAAUUUUACUGUAAGUGAGACCAUUUUCUGAAAGUGUUGUAAAUUUGUUGCUGAACAAAG